GGACACGUGAUAUCCUGUCUGAAGAUGGGGGGACCAUCCUCCAAGGCUAAAUACUCGUAAUCGACCGAUAGUGAACUAGUACCGUGAGGGAAAGGCGAAAAGAACCCCGGAGAGGGGAGUGAAAUAGAUCCUGAAACCGUAUGCAUACAAACAGUGGGAGCGGACUUGUUCCGUGACUGCGUACCUUUUGUAUAAUGGGUCAGCGACUUAUAUUCUGUAGCAAGGUUAACCGUAUAGGGGAGCCGAAGGGAAACCGAGUCUUAACCGG
rnacentral:rRNA from 1 species